GUGAGUGAGUGAUUGUAGCUGUCAGUGUGUGUCUGUGAGUGAGUGAAAGUGUAUGUCUUUCAGUGAGAAUGGGUGUGCCUGUGAGUGUGUGUCAGUGUGUGUAUGUCAUUUUAUGUGUACCUGAGAGUUUGUGCCUGUCAGUGUGUGUCUGUCAGUGAAAGUGUGUAUUGGUUAAACAGGGUGUGCCAAUGACUGUAUGUGUGUGCCAAUGAC